rnacentral:sRNA from 1 species
CUGGGAACUGUUGCCGACAGUCUCAGGGCCUCCGAUGGGCAGCUUCAAGCCAAGGCACCAACGAAGCCCCCCCGGACACCCUCCUUCGAACUGCCUGAUGCCUCUGAACGUCCCCCGACGUACUGCGAGCUGGUGCCCCGAGUGCCCAGUGUCCAGGGAACAUCCCCGAGCCAAAGCUGCCCAGAGCCAGAGGCCCCAUGGUGGGAGGCCGAGGAGGAUGAGGAGGAAGAGAAUAGAUGUUUUACGAGACCACAGGCUGAGAUCUCUUUCUGCCCCCAUGAUGCCCCCUCCUGCCUGCUGGGCCCCCAGAAUCGGCCCCUGGAACCCCAAGUCCUGCAUACCCUCCGUGGCCUGUUCCUGGAGCACCAUCCUGGGAGCACCGCCCUUCACCUGCUAUUGGUAGACUGCCAGGCCACAGGCCUCCUGGGAGUGACCAGGGAUCACCAGGGCAACAUGGUGAGACCUCAUCUCUACAAAAACUGAAAAAUAAAAAACUUUUUUAAAAUGUAAAA